rnacentral:rRNA from 1 species
AAACUAACAAGGAUUCCCUUAGUAACGGCGAGUGAACCGGGAAGAGCUCAAAUUUGAAAUCUGGCAGUCUUCGAUUGUCCGAGUUGUAAUCUAUAGAAGUGUUUUCCGUGCUGGACCGUGUCUAAGUCCCUUGGAACAGGGUAUCAAAGAGGGUGACAAUCCCGUGCUUGAUACGACCACCAGUGCUCUGUGAUACACUCUCUACGAGUCGAGUUGUUUGGGAAUGCAGCUCAAAAUGGGUGGUAAAUUCCAUCUAAAGCUAAAUAUUGGCGAGAGACCGAUAGCGAACAAGUACCGUGAGGGAAAGAUGAAAAGCACUUUGGAAAGAGAGUUAAACAGUACGUGAAAUUGUUGAAAGGGAAACGAUUGAAGUCAGUCGUGUUCAUUGGACUCAGCUAGUUCUUCUAGUCUACUUCCUUUGAACGGGUCAACAUCAGUUUUGUCCGGUGGAUAAAGAUAGUUUCAAUGUAGCUUCUUCGGAAGUGUUAUAGGUUUCUAUCACAUACACUGGAGGAGACUGAGGACUGCAGCUCGCCUUUUGGCCGGGGUUCGCCCACGUUCGAGCUUAGGAUGUUGACAUAAUGGCUUUAAACGAC